rnacentral:snRNA from 1 species
AUACUUACCUGGCAGGGGAGACACCAUGAUCACGAAGGUGGUUUUCCCCGGGCGAGGCUCAUCCAUUGCACUCCGAUGUGCUGACCCCUGCGAUUUCCCCAAAUGUGGGAAACUUGACUGCAUAAUUUGUGGUAUUGGGGUCUGCGUUUGUGCUCUCCACUG